GGAUGUUGAUGUUGUUGUCGUGUCACAAAGUCAUGACUAACCCUUCACAACCCCAUGGACAGCAUUCCUCCAGGCU